AUGGACAAGUACACCGGCAUCCCCGGCUCCGACGUCCUGCGCAGCCGCGCCGACGGCCAGCUCGUGGCCGUCACGUACAUCCCUCGAGGGGAGCAGGUGGACGAGGCCGUGCGGCGGGAGAUCAUCAGGCACCGGUCGCUGCGCCACCCCAGCGUCGUCCGCCUCAGGGAGCUCGUUCUCACCCCGACGCACCUCGCCGUCGUCUCGGAGCACGCCCCGGACCUCCACCGGCGGGUCCGCGACGCCGGCCGGUUCAGCGAGGACGAGGCGCGUGUGCUGUUCCGGCAACUGGUAUCAGGAGUCAGCUACUGCCACUCCAUGCAGGUAUGCCAUCGUGACCUGAAGCUGGAGAACAUCCUGCUGGAUGGGAGCUGCGCGGGGCCUCCUCGGCUCAAGAUAUGCGGCCCCGGCGUUUCAAAGCGUCAGUCGCAGCCGGGAGCGCCAAGAGCGUCUGACCAAACACGGGUGUACAUCGCUCCUGAGGUUUUUCAGCAAAGGGAAUAUGAUGGCAAGAUCGUCGAUGUGUGGUCCUGUGGAGUGACGCUCUACGCCAUGCUGGUCGGCGCUUACCCCUUCCAGUGUCCUGACGACGAGCCAAUAAAUUUUAGGAAGAUAAUUCAGAGGAUACAGAGCGUUGAAUACUCAGUUCCAGAUGACCUGCACAUAUCUGCCGAGUGGCGUGACCUCAUUUCCAAGAUCUUUGUUGCUGACCCAGCUGCUAGAAUCACGGUGCCUGAGAUAAGAAACCAUCCAUGGUUCUUCAAGAAUUUCCCGGCUGAUGAUAGCACAAUGAGCACCGAGGAGGCAGAGCAGCCGACGCAGAGCAUGGAUGAGAUGAUGCAGAUCCUAGCACUGGCAGAGGCACCAUAUCUACUGCCGAUGACAUAG
rnacentral:rRNA from 1 species